UUUGAGGUCAUCGUCUUCAGCCCCCCUAACGUUUUCUUCUUCGACCAGCAAAACCCCACCCCAAAACAACCCUCCACUCCCCGUCUCCCUACCAGCGGCAACUCGCCGGAACACACAGACGAGGACCCUCAUCCCAACGACCAAUCAAAACCAAUCACCAACGUCCACCAGUUCCAUCAAUGACCUCCCUUCAGCAAAGCUACCGGAACAAGCACACACGCACAUAGCUGCAACGGGAGGGCAGCAGCAGUGAAAGCAGCAGGAGUGAAAGGGAGAUGACGAGUGGCGUUCGAAAAAUCGAUGAAACAGUAGUCUCGACAUAAGUUCGUUCGAGUUGUCUGUUUGCGAGAUCUGUACAGCGCCAUAUAUUGAGGUUGUCACUGUCCGUUGAGGUCGUUCGAGAUUCCGGUGCACUCCCUGUUUGGCCAAUUUUAUUUCCGACUGAAGCCUAUUUUGACGAUCAAAGUUUUUUUCUGAGAUAAUUAAGGUCUGCUUCUAUUUCUCUGCUACUAUUUAACUUCACAACAUAUUAUUGUGUCAUGUUUGUCAUGUUUUUGCUUGGUCAAUUGUCCGAGUAAACAAUUUUCGUUGCUUUGUUCGUUGUGGAGUGCUUUAAUAGUACUUGUUUGUCGCAUUUAUUCAGUUGACUGUUAUUUGCGCUUUGGUUUGGUUUAAUACAUGUUAUUUGAAUUUGAUGGCCAAGAGCAAGGUGAUUCUUUUGUUGUUGGAAUUGAGUCUGCCUAAGUGUGUGCAUGUCGUUGAUUUCCUGGGUUGAAGUAUUGAAUAUGGUUGGGUUUUUGAAUUCUUAAGCAAAAAUGCUAGGUGACCAUGAUUCGAGUUGUACAUAAGUCAAGAUCUGUUUAUUUGGAAUUCGUUAGGCGCAUGCUAGGCCUGUUAAUAUCAUGUAGUUGCUCUCUUUUAUUAGUCCAUAAAUAAUUUUGUAGUAUUCAUUAACAAUAUCGUAGUUUGCUUUAGGUGCGUUAAAUUUAUAAUUAUCACAGCAGUUGUUAAAAUCCGGGGGUGCAUUUCAUGUGACCCGGUUCUAAUUUCCAACAGGGUUAAAUAGAGCGUGUCGUGAACCACGGGUGCAUUUCAUGUGGUGUGGCUUGCGAUAUAUUUUAAAUGACCUUGAAUUAAUUCUUUAAAUAAGUUAAAAGCUGUUAAAAGAUUAAAUUUGCACAUAGGUUCAAAAUGUUCUAAAUUCAGAUAAUUAAGCCAAUUAUAACAGUUGAGCGACCGUUCUAGAACCACGGAACUCGGGAAUGCCUAACACUUUUUUUCGGGUUAAUAGAAUUCCUUACUCGGAUUUCUAGUUCGCGGACUGUUAAACAGAGUCAUAUUUUCCUCGAUUCGGGAUUCAACCGGUGACUUGGGAUACCAUAAAUCUCCCAAGUGGAGACUCUGAAUCUUUAUAAUAAAUUUCAUUUCAAUUGUCCUUUAAUUGGAAAAACUCCCUUAUUUAUACCCUUUUACGGGGUGUAGAUGAAAAAAGGAGGUAUGACAAUGAUACCAAAUUUUAUGUGCAAGUCUUAGAAGGCAUGACUGAAAUAUUUCCGAUCUCAGAAUUCUAUUUGGACAUCGAUAUCACCAAAACCCGCUCCAAACCAAAUUUAAAGAACUUCUAAAAUCUUCGAAGAACCAACUUUCACUAUUAGGUGACAAAACGCUCCCGGGUCAUCCAAAACCCAAUCCGAAUAUACGCUCAAAUCCAAAAUCAUCAUAUGAAUCUAUUGGAACCAUCAAAUCUCGAUUAUAAGGUCGUUUACAAAAAAUGUUGACCGAAGUCAGACUUGGCCUUUUAAACCAACUUAAGGAACCAAGUAUUCUGAUUUUAACCCGAACUCUUCCAAACCCAAAUCAACCAUUCCCGCAAUUUAUAAAUCAGUAAAAAUAUGUAUGAAAAGUCUUAUUUAAGGGAACGGUAUUUUAGAAAGCAAAACGACCGAUUAGGUCGUUAUAUGUAUCAACUAUUUUUUUUUUAAAACAAUGAGUGGUAGGAUAGGCGGAGUCAAUUGAAUAGAGCCAACAGACAAGUUAUAAGAGCAUUAGUACAAAGAAGAAUCAUAGAAUAAAAAGCUGAUUGAGAAAAAAAAGAAUCAUACAGUAUAAUAUUGUCUUCAAUUGCUACUAAUGCCUUACUGCUUUAUUUGUUUUUGAAUAUUGAUUUGAUAAACAUGUUCUAUCUAAGGGAUGUGAAUAAUAUAUUUAAUGUUGUUAUUCCUUUACUGAUAGAAUGGGUGGAUAAAUUUGGUGCUACACCAAUUCAACUUAGUUACACCGUUAACUCUAGUUAUGCCAUUGUGAGAAAAUUGUUCACUACUAGCCACAGUAAAGAUUUAAAACCUUAGUACAAAAAUCUGCAUCAACCUGCUUGAAAAAGUUGUGGAAGUUACAUAUGAAAAUUAAAGUUAAAUAUUUUCUCAUGGAAUUAUCUAGUGGUAGUUCUUCUAGUUCAAGGUUUUUCGGGAUAUAAGCUACAAGAUACUAAUAUAAUUCGUAAUAUGUACAUAUCAAGAAAGUUGUUGAUCAUAUGUUCUUUAUAUAUUCCUUUAUAUGCAUUUUUUGAAAUAUUCUGCUAAAGGUUGUCUAACCCAAUAACAGGAUUAUAUUCUAUACCUAAUCAUGUUUAUAUUCUCUUUGUUUUAUCAUUUUAGGUCAAGCAUUAUGACAUUCGAUAAUUUGGCGUAUGGAAGAAAUCAUUCUGAUUAAGAGUUUGAGAAAUUUUUAUAUGAUGUUUAUUGUAGUUUUAUAGCUAUUUUAUAACAAUAAUUAUUAGAUGCAAAAUUAUACUAGCUAUUGGAUUCAAAUAGUUUACUCUUUUCCUGUAUUAUUGACACUUGAAAUUAUGG
rnacentral:lncRNA from 1 species